rfam:Euryarchaeota archaeon AMET1 AMET1_3, whole genome shotgun sequence.
UAGGUUGGAGUCGGUGACCCAGUAGGUAUGUCCCUCGCACACUACGCCGCAUCAGGCCUAGGUGGACUACGUACCUCAGGUGACCUCGUAUCCAGAGUAA